rnacentral:tRNA from 1 species
UAGUGCAAUGGUAGUAUAUGUCCCUGCCACGGACGUGACCCGGGUUCGAAUCCCGG